AUGAAGCAGCCGCGUGACGUCAGUGUUGGUGCCUUACAGUGCGUAGUGACGUCACGUAUUGUGCUGUACGACGUCCACCCGCCCCCCCCUCCAUCCCGGCGCGCCGUUCAGCACCGUCACGCUGGACAGCGCCGGUGGGCGGAGCCGCUUGGGGGGGGCGUGGCCUCCAAGCGUCUCGCCCAGCCGCUGCCGGCUGCUGUCACGUGGCCGUCCGUUGCCAGCGGGCGGGGCCUCGAUCCGCUGCCACGGAGACGGCGUUCGCUUGCCCUUUCCCAUUGGCCAGGGCGUCAGGGGGGGCGGGGCCUCGCUCCGUUACCAGGGAGACGGCGUCUCUCGCUCCCGUCCUCGCUCUCCCAUUGGCUGCGGCCGCCCCGGUACCGGCGGGAGGCGCCCUUCCCAUGGCGGCGGCGCUGGAGGCGGCGCUGGGCACGGCGUGCUGCUGGGGGCUGUCCCCGGCUCUGGAUCUCCACCAACACCUCCCGCAUGCCGGUAACGGCGACGCGACGGCGCUGCUCGUCGGGGCGGCGGAGGGGCGGCACCUCCUGCUCACGGCAUCGCGGGCGCACCGGGAGCCGCGCUGUGCCAUCACCAUCUUCGUGGCCGAGGAGCGGCCCGAGCCCGUGGCCCGGCAGCUUCUCUUCCUUCUCCUGGCUACCGCCGAACCGCCGGGCAGCGCCGGGCUGCGGGGUAACGGGGAGCACCGGGACGGGGGGGGGGGGGGGGGAUGGGGCCGUUAUGAGUCCGCUCUGCCCCCCGCAGCCCGCGCCGCCGCCCUCCUGGAGCUGUUGGGGUCCGCCCGCCUCCGCCCCGCCACCGCUCGGCUCCUGGGGGCGCCGCGGGGCGGCUCCGGCUGGUGGCGGAGGGGGGAGACCACCACUGGAGGUGGAGCUGAUGAAGGUAGAGGGGGGGGGGGGGGGGGGGAGAGAGUUGGGGGGGGGAAAUGGGGGGGAGGGAGAGAGUUGGGGGGGGGAAAUGGGGGGAGGGGAGGAGUUGGGGGGGGAAAUGGGGGGGGGAGGGGGAAGAGGUUUGGGGGGGGGGGGGGAAAUGGGGGGGGAGGGGGAGAGUUGGGGGGGGGAAUGGGGGGGGAGGGGAGAGUUGGGGGGGGGAAAUGGGGGGGGAGGGGGGAGAGUUGGGGGGGGAAAUGGGGGGGAGGGGGAAGAGUUGGGGGGGGGGGGGGAGGGGAGGAAAUGGGGGGGGAGGGGAGCGGGUGGAGAGUUGGGGGGGGAAAUGGGGGGGGAGGGGGGGAGGGGGAGAUUGGGGGGGGGGAAAUGGGGGGAGGGGGGGAGGGGGAGAGGCGUUUUUCUUUUCGCAAAUCAACCAUCUUAUGCGUAAAACACGUUUUCUCUUGAGAAUCCAACAUUUAAGUGAAAAUCACACGUUUUCUCAAAUCCCCCAUUUAAGCGAAAAUCACGCGUUUUCUCUUCGCAAAUCCCCCAUUUAACCAGAAAACCAAGCAUUUUCUCUUCUAGAAUCCCCAUUUUACCCGAAAA
rnacentral:lncRNA from 7 species